rnacentral:rRNA from 1 species
AGUGAACGCUGGCGGUAGGCCUAACACAUGCAAGUCGAACGGCAGCACAGUAAGAGCUUGCUCUUACGGGUGGCGAGUGGCGGACGGGUGAGGAAUACAUCGGAAUCUACUUUUUCGUGGGGGAUAACGUAGGGAAACUUACGCUAAUACCGCAUACGACCUACGGGUGAAAGCAGGGGAUCUUCGGACCUUGCGCGAUUGAAUGAGCCGAUGUCGGGUUAGCUAGUUGGCGGGGUAAAGGCCCACCAAGGCGACGAUCCGUAGCUGGUCUGAGAGGAUGAUCAGCCACACUGGAACUGAGACACGGUCCAGACUCCUACGGGAGGCAGCAGUGGGGAAUAUUGGACAAUGGACGCAAGCCUGAUCCAGCCAUACCGCGUGGGUGAAGAAGGCCUUCGGGUUGUAAAGCCCUUUUGUUGGGAAAGAAAAGCAGCAGGUUAAUACCCCGCUGUUCUGACGGUACCCAAAGAAUAAGCACCGGCUAACUUCGUG